ACGGCUCAGUAACACGUGGACAAUCUGCCCUGAAGAAGAGAAUAAUCCCGGGAAACUGGGGGUAAUGCUCUAUAGUCCGGGAAAACUGGAAUGUUUUCCGGAUGAAAGAUCCGUCGCUUCAGGAUGAGUCUGCGGCCGAUUAGGUAGUUGUUGGGGUAAAAGCCCAACAAGCCCGUAAUCGGUACGGGUUGUGGGAGCAAGAGCCCGGAGAUGGAUUCUGAGACACGAAUCCAGGCCCUACGGGGCGCAGCAGGCGCGAAAACUUUACAAUGCGGGCAACCGUGAUAAGGAAACCCCGAGUGCCAGCACAGGCUGGCUGUCCACCAGUGUAAACAACUGGUGAAGAAAGGGCCGGGCAAGACCGGUGCCAGCCGCCGCGGUAAUACCGGCGGCUCGAGUGGUGGCCGCUUUUACUGGGCUUAAAGGGUCCGUAGCUGGAUUCACAAGUCCCUUGAGAAAUCUAUCGGCUUAACUGAUAGGCGUUCAGGGGAUACUGUGGUUCUAGGGACCGGGAGAGGUGAGAGGUACUGCCGGGGUAGGAGUGAAAUCCUGUAAUCCCGGUGGGACGACCUAUAGCGAAGGCAUCUUACCAGAACGGCUCCGACAGUGAGGGACGAAAGCUGGGGGAGCAAACCGGAUUAGAUACCCGGGUAGUCCCAGCUGUAAACGAUGCGCGUUAGGUGUGUCAGUGACCACGUGUCACUGAUGUGCCGAAGGGAAAUCGUGAAACGCGCCGCCUGGGGAGUACGGUCGCAAGGCUGAAACUUAAAGGAAUUGGCGGGGGAGCAC
rnacentral:rRNA from 1 species